UGCCCUUCCCCCUCCUCCAGCCUCACUGCGCAUGCUGUCAGCUGGAGGAGGCAAAGAAAGAAAACAAGAGAGAGAGAUAGAGGAGCUGGAGGGAAGGGGAGGCUGAGGAGGAGCAGGCUGCAGUGAUAGAAGGAACAUAAGGAAGGAGAUGUUUAUGCCCUUUGAGGAAAAAGGAGAAAUCUGCCACAGUUCCUACAGCAAGACUCAUGGCAGUAAGAGGAACAGUAGAGGGAGAACUCAGGAUUUGUUUGUAUAAGUUCAUCUCUUUCCCCCAAUGCACAUUCAUGCAAGAGUGCCAUGGCAGAGGUUAAGGUGUCUUGCUACAGCUCCUGUGGGAACAGGGCAGAUUUUCUAC